rnacentral:rRNA from 1 species
GACGAACGCUGGCGGCGUGCUUAACACAUGCAAGUCGAACGAAGUGGCGAACGGGUGAGUAACGCGUAAUCAACCGGCCCUUCAGAGGGGGACAACAGGUGGAAACGACGGCUAAUAAGGCAUAGGGAAGGAGGGGAUGGCGUCUGAUUAGCUAGUUGGAGGGGUAACGGCCCCCCAAGGCGAUGAUCAGUAGCCGUUCUGAGAGGAUUAACGGCCCCCUUGUGACUUAGACCCGGCCCAGACUCCUACGGGAGGCAGCAGUGGGGAAUCUUCCGCCAUUGACGAAAGUCUGACGGAGCCACGCCGCGUUAGUUAUGACGGCCUUCGGGUUGUAAAGCUCUGUUAAUCGGGACGCGGUACCUGCAUAGAAAGCCACGGCUAACUACGUGCCAGCAGCCGCGGUAAUUC